GUCAUGGCUCAGGAUGAACGCUAGCUACAGGCUUAACGCAUGCAAGUCGAGGGGCAGCAUGAACUUAGCUUGCUAAGUUUGAUGGCGACCGGCGCACGGGUGAGUAACACGUAUCCAACCUGCCGAUGACUCGGGGAUAGCCUUUCGAAAGAAAGAUUAAUACCCGAUGGCAUAGUUCUUCCGCAUGGUAGAACUAUUAAAGAAUUUCGGUCAUCGAUGGGGAUGCGUUCCAUUAGGUUGG
rnacentral:rRNA from 1 species